rnacentral:lncRNA from 1 species
AAAAGUCCGCUCUCUAGUUGCAGUCACCAAUCUUCAAUUGCUAUCCAUACGCGUGCGUUAUGCCAAAAGAAGUGACAGUAGCUCUCAAAUCAAUACCUUAACUUUGAGUGCCUAUAUCUCCUUCAUAUAAACUCCAAACCAUGGCAAAUUUGUACCAAAACCAUAGCCAAAAACCUAAACUUGCUGACCUUUGCCUUCAAAGCUCAAAUGGCUUCCGAAAAACUAACCCUAAUCUCUAAUUUGGCCUCAGGCAGCCUCCUUAAAUCCCAUUGUUCAUGAUUUUUGACCAAUAGGAAUGGAGAUUUUCAUCAUUCAUCUCCAUUCAUCUAUAUUGGUGCCUUAAUUACUCCCUUUGCUACCAAACUCCUUCUUUAAUCCUUUUUCUUAUAAGAUUUACAUAAUUUAUGCUCUAAACACUAAAUAAAAGAAUCAAAUUAAAUUUUCAAAGAUCACCAAUGUCUAAAAAAGGUGACUCUAAAUAUUUAAAAGUUACUAUCAACCAAAACCAAUCUUAAAAGCCACUA